CAAAGGCGGCGGCUGGCGACGGACUUGGCGCGAUGGCGGUGAUCCGAUCGGGCGAGAACGAGGCAGGGGCGAUGUGGUGGAGGCCCGGCGGCGCGGCUUCCUGCGGGUGCCAUGGCGUUGGGUGGGCUCCUGUGCACAUCCGAGAGAGAGGUGAGAGCAGAGAAAUCACUACCGUUCCAAGGUCUCUGGUCUGGGAGCUUGUGAAGAAGAGCAAGUGCUUCUUGAUCAAGCAGUUUGGCAACAGCAACGCCAAGGUCCAGUUUCACAAGGACCCAACAACCUCUACAAUGUCCGCUACUACAAGUUCUCAGGCUUAACAAACAGCAAGACCGUGGCGGUCCAGCCAUCAGCGGGAGAGGAGAAGGCUGUAGUCCUGUCCACGAGCAAGACCAAGAAGCAGGACACCCAUGCCAAGCUGUUGCACAAGACUCUAACGCGCAAGCAGUUCUGCAAGAUGGCCAAGUCUGUCCAGAAUCAGAUGCAAAGCAUCCAGGAUGUGAUAAAUCAUUCACUGGAUAAUGGCAUUUAUAUGUGGUUCCAGUCUUUUCACGGUGCAGGUGAACAUGAGAAUUCUAUCAAAGAUAAGUGCCCUUUCAAGAUUGACAUUGUUCUUUCUUCAGUGUAGGUGCAUGAUAUUACAUGAUUAAACAUGCCAAUUUUUUAAAUUGAUUUAGUUGUCUAUAUUAUGCUCUAUGUGCUAUUACCAACAAAAAAGUACACCAUAAUAUAAGAUGUUAUUACAUGGACGGAGGGAGAUUUUUAGCCUGCAAAGCAACAAAUCUAUUCCCAGUGUGGCAAUAAUGUGUUUGCACCAGUUAAGGAAGAAUUUGUUUUUCACACUGUAAGAAACACUUCAUGUUUCUUCCCCAUCAUUUAAGUGUGCCAUUCUUCUUUGUUCAUGUUGCUAAUAGGAUAUAUUUCAUUAUGAUGAUGUUCCAUACUGCUCCUAUGGAGUCACUCUUUGGACUGUUGGACGCGUAUAUCCAAUGAAACUACUUUUCCGGUUGUUGGCUGGAGCUAUCACUAUGACUGAAAAUUUCUUUUCAGUCAAGAAACCAACGACAUGUCAACACUUAUCAGCAGUUUGCAAUCUUUGUUAGACUAUGCCUAAGCCAACGGUUAGACAAUGUUAGGCAAUGUACAAAACAUGGACAUGAUUUAUGUAGAUUGGGCAGUCCAUUCAAACUGCAUUUUUCAAUCUUGAGUGGACGAUUAUAUGUUUUCUUAUAGAAAAUUGACUAUAUGUUUGAUGAAUUGACUGAUUAUUUUUGCCCUAUCAGAUUAAACUAGGUCUUAAUUUGAAGGUACAAUUUAGGCUGCUGGUGCUGGUUUGUUUAUUGUACUAAUUAUGCUCUUUAGACAGAGACAUGUU